rnacentral:rRNA from 1 species
UAAUCGGAAUUACUGGGCGUAAAGCGUACGCAGGCGGUCUGUUAAGUCAGAUGUGAAAUCCCCGGGCUUAACCUGGGAACUGCAUUUGAAACUGGCAGGCUAGAGUCUCGUAGAGGGGGGUAGAAUUCCAGGUGUAGCGGUGAAAUGCGUAGAGAUCUGGAGGAAUACCGGUGGCGAAGGCGGCCCCCUGGACGAAGACUGACGCUCAGGUACGAAAGCGUGGGGAGCAAACAGGAUUAGAUACCCUGGUAGUCCACGCUGUAAACGAUGUCGAUUUGAAGGUUGUGGUCUUGAGCCGUGGCUUUCGGAGCUAACGCGUUAAAUCGACCGCCUGGGGAGUACGGCCGCAAGGUUAAAACUCAAAUGAAUUGACGGGGGCCCGCACAAGCGGUGGAGCAUGUGGUUUAAUUCGAUGCAACGCGAAGAACCUUACCUACUCUUGACAUCCAGAGAACUGAGCAGAGAUGCUUAGGUGCCUUCGGGAACUGUGAGACAGGUGCUGCAUGGCUGUCGUCAGCUCGUGUUGUGAAAUGUUGGGUUAAGUCCCGCAACGAGCGCAACCCUUAUCCUUUGUUGCCAGCGAUUCGGUCGGGAACUCAAAGGAGACUGCCGGUGAUAAACCGGAGGAAGGUGGGGAUGACGUCAAGUCAUCAUGGCCCUUACGAGUAGGGCUACACACGUGCUACAAUGGCGCAUACAAAGAGAAGCGAUCUCGCGAGAGUCAGCGGACCUCAUAAAGUGCGUCGUAGUCCGGAUUGGAGUCUGCAACUCGACUCCAUGAAGUCGGAAUCGCUAGUAAUCGUGGAUCAGAAUGCCACGGUGAAUACGUUCUCGGGCCUUGUACACACCGCCCGUCACACCAUGGGAGUGGGUUGCAAAAGAAGUAGGUAGCUUAACCUUAGGGAGGGCGUUUACCACUUUGUGAUUCAUGACUGGGGUGAAGUCGUAACAAGGUAACC